rnacentral:lncRNA from 1 species
ACGUCGGUUGGUGGCCGCGUCUGGGACCGAACCGGGCACCGCCUUGUGGAAAAAAAAGAAUAGAAUAUACCCUGUUAAAUCAGACAUGAUACUUGCUUUUGUGGAGCUUAUGCUUUAGUGCAGAAACAGAAAGUCAAGCAAAAACUCAAACUAUGUAACUUUAAAUUGGAUAUGUGCUAAUGAAGGAAAAUGUGGCACUGUAAGAAAAAAUAAUAGGGAGUUAAAGGAUAAAUAGGAGUUUGCUGGAUGAAAUUUAUGAAGAGCUGAAGAUUUCAAACAAAAGAAACUGAUGCAGGAGGGUGCAGCUUUGGAGUCAAGAAUGAAGUUCUAGGAGAUAGAGAGCAAAGAAAUGGUGGGAGAGGAGGUCAAAGUUCUUUCCUCCAGCUCACUUUAUUGUAAGAACCUUGGUGUCUGUAAUCGGCUCGGAACCCUUGCUGCUCUUUCACUGAAUAUCGCUGUCUGGAGGUUACUUGGUACACUGGUCGACAAAACCUUGAAAUGUUGAUGUUUAAGGGCUGUUGAUUGCUGGCAGCAAAGAAGUCCAACUGUGCUGGUACCCGAGAUAGCGUCUCCACAUUUUCUUCCAGGAUCAUCACCUUUGUUCUAAAUAGCUCCCACAUAGUGUGAACAGAAGUCAUAUGUUUUAGAUUUUCUGCCUUGGCACCCAGG